UCCUACGGGAGGCAGCAGUGGGUAAUAUUGCACAAUGCGCGCAAGCCUGAUGCAGCCAUGCCGCGUGUAUGAAGAAGGCCUUCGGGUUGUAAAGUACUUCAGCGAGGAGGAAGUCGAUGUGGUUAACCCGCACAUGCGAUGACGUACACGCAGAGA
rnacentral:rRNA from 1 species